AGUGGGGGAGCCAGGAAGUAUUGAUGUUUCUGCCAGGUUAGCGUCAACACUUGCUGGUUUCCUCUCU
ncrna:Rattus norvegicus (Norway rat) microRNA rno-mir-505 precursor